UGAACUGCUUAAGUCGUUUAAAAAAGUAUGGAUCUAAUAAAUAUAAUAACUAUUGAAAGCUUUUGUCGAAGGUAUAAAAGCUUGGACAGCUGUUUGUUGGCAUUCAGUAAAUUAUCCACACCGGUAGUUUUCCAUUGUGAUUCAGGAUAUCCUUGUAAUUUGUUAAUAAUUCAUUAAAAACCAUAAUGUCGGUUCCUGAUGUGGUUCUAAAUAAUGGGAAAAAGAUUCCCAUCCUCGGUCUAGGCACAUGGGGUAGUCCUAAGGGAGAAGUUGUUCAAGCCGUUAAAGAUGCUAUUGAUGUUGGUUAUCGCCACAUUGAUUGUGCACAUGUGUACCAAAAUGAGGAUGAAGUCGGAGAGGGCAUAGAAGCUAAAAUAUCUGAAGGUGUAGUGAAACGUGAGGAAUUGUUUGUUACCAGCAAAUUAUGGAAUACUUUCCAUAGCCCAGAAUUAGUACGCGGAGCCUUAGAAACUACUUUGAAGAAUUUGCGAUUGGAUUACCUUGACUUGUACUUGAUUCAUUGGCCAAUGGGUUAUAAAGAGGGCGGACCAUUGUUCCCAAAUGAUGAUCUUGGCAAAGUGCAAUAUUCUGAUGUAGAUUAUGUAGACACAUGGAAAGCAAUGGAAAAACUUGUAGAGGCUGGUCUUGUUAAGUCCAUUGGUGUAUCUAAUUUCAACAAACGUCAAAUUGAACGUGUGCUUGAGGUUGCAACUAUUGCUCCCGUUACAAAUCAAAUUGAAUGUCAUCCUUAUUUGACUCAAGAAAAACUAAUUGGAUUUUGCAAAUCGAAGAACAUAGCUGUUACUGCAUAUAGUCCUUUGGGUUCCCCCAACAGGCCAUGGGCGAAACCAGAUGAUCCCGUUUUGUUAGAGGAUGCUAAAAUUGUUAGUAUCGCUAAUAAGUAUGGCAAAACUCCGGCACAAAUUCUUAUACGCUAUCAAGUGCAACGUGGAAACAUUGUUAUCCCAAAGUCUGUAACUAAAAGUCGUAUUGCAUCUAACUUCGAUGUGUUCAAUUUUGAAUUAAACGCAGAUGAUAUUGCCACAAUUAAUGGUUUUAAUUGUAACGGACGUUUCGUACCUCUUGAUAACGUUGCUGACCAUCAGCUUUACCCGUUUACAGAUGAAUUCUAAAUUUGUAAAGUUGCAAAGAUGUGAAAUUUGUUAAUUUAUUCAAAAUCUACGUCAGCUAUCGGUUCUCAUAUCUUCAUGACUAUGUUAUGUUAUUUUACUUUGCAAUUUUUUUUCAAUUUGAAAAACAAUCAAUAUGUUAGCACCAUCUAUCACAUCCGCACCAUCCGUUUGCUAACGAUGAGUUCUAGUUUGUUAAACUCAUUCCAGUUAAAUUGUGUUUAUGUAACUGUAAUUUUUCACCAAUGUAGAAAUACAUAUACAUAUACAUAUAUUAUUGUAUUUAGCGCUGCACUGAAUAAAUAAACACAUGAAUUUACAAACUUCA